CUCAAAAAGGGAAAAUGGAGGAGGCACGCAUUUAAUUUUUGUCUAUGAAGGAAACGACUUCGUUUCAUUACCAAAUAGGCGUAUCAGAGUCCUACCCCUGCAACGCGAUAUGUGCAGACGGAGCAUCCAGAAACAUAAAGUUACAAGGAUCUGGGGUUCUUCAAGGGUUUAACUGAGAGCCACUGUCACCAAGCGCUGGAACUCCACCAUGAGAAGAGCUUCAAUUUCACUUCUCUCUCGCCUUACCCGCCAACACAACAAAGCACUGACUCCUCUCCUUUCUAGAAAUUACAUAUCUGACACCGCCUCCUUUUCUUCCUCUUCGCUCCACUCACCCGGCAAUCAUCUCAAACACUGCACUAAAACCAAUGGCCUAAUCGUUAAACCUCGCCAAUUCCAAGCAAACCCAUCUCCAAACAUUGACACCCUUGUUGAAGAAAAGGCUCAAAUCUCCUCUAGGCAGAGAAAAAUCAAGGAAAAGUAUGAACUUGAAGAAGCUUUUGAAUCUGCACAGACAGCUGAGGAGAUGCUUCAAGCUUUUAAAGAAAUGGAGGCUUCUUUUGAUGAGAAAGAGCUUGGAUUUGCUGCAUUGAAAAUUGGGUUAAAACUUGACCAAGAAGGUGAGGACCCUGAAAAGACCUUAUCUUUUGCUACUAGAGCUUUGAAAGUUCUUGAUAAAGUUGAUAAUAAACCUUCUUUACUUCUUGCCAUGACUUUGCAAUUAAUGGGCUCUGCUAAUUACAGUUUAAAAAGGUUUAAUGAUAGUUUAGGUUAUUUAAAUAGGGCUAAUAGGAUAUUAGGCAGGCUAGGGGAGGAGGGAAGUGAUAAUUUAGAGGAUAUGAAGGCAGUGCUGCAUGCAGUGCAACUAGAGUUAGCAAAUGUGAAGACUGCAAUAGGGAGGAGAGAGGAGGCUUUAGAGAAUCUUAGGAAGUGCUUAGAGAUCAAAGAAAUGACGUUGGAGAAGGAUAGUAAGGAAUUGGGUGUGGCAAAUAGGGAACUGGCAGAGGCAUACGUUGCAGUUUUGAAUUUCAAGGAGGCAUUGCCAUUUGGUUUGAAGGCGUUGGAUAUACAUAGGAGUGGACUGGGGAAUAAUUCUGUGGAGGUUGCACGUGAUAGAAGGCUUCUUGGUGUCAUUUACACUGGGUUAGAGGAGCAUCAGAAGGCAUUGGAGCAGAAUGAAUUGUCGCAAAAGGUCUUGAAGAAUUGGGGUCUUAGCUCAGAUUUGCUUCAUGCAGAGAUUGAUGCCUCAAAUAUGCAGAUAGCAUUGGGCAGAUAUGAUGAGGCUAUUAAUACUCUGAAAGGUAUUGUUCAGCAGACAGAAAAAGACAGUGAGACUCGAGCAUUGGUGUUUAUAUCAAUGUCAAAAGCUCUGAGUAAUCAAGAGAAGUUUGCUGAUUCAAAGAAAUGUCUGGAAAUUGCUUGUGGAAUCCUUGAGAAGAAAGAGUCAGUUUCUCCAGUUGAAGUUGCUGAGGCAUACUCAGAGAUAGCAAUGCAGUAUGAAAAUAUGAAUGAAUUGGAAACGGCGAUCUCAUUGCUGAAGAGAACACUUUCUUUGCUUGAGAAGCUCCCACAAGAACAGCACUCAGAAGGAAGUGUUUCUGCUAGAGUUGGGUGGUUACUUUUGUUGACAGGUAAGGUGCCUCAGGCAAUUCCUUACUUGGAGAAUGCUGCUGAAAGGUUGAAAGAGAGCUUUGGUUCUAAGCAUUUUGGAGUGGGUUAUAUCUAUAACAAUUUAGGGGCAGCAUAUUUGGAACUGGAUAGACCGCAGUCAGCUGCGCAGAUGUUUGCAGUUGCAAAAGAUAUCAUGGAUGUGGCACUUGGUCCUCAACAUGCAGAUGCAAUUGAAGCAUGUCAAAAUCUCUCGAAAGCAUAUGGUGCCAUGGGAAGAUUCCACGCCGCCUGCCCUCACCUCACGCUCACAGUGCAUGUGCCUCCAUCCACCACUUCCAGCGGUGCUUCCACCGUCCAACCUCCACUUUCCUCCCGGCGACAUCGACUGAUUGACCAUCGUCGGGUACCUCGGCUUGUAUGUUGUGGCUCGUGACCCAUCGCCGCAAUCGUCGGUGCCGCGUCACCCGUCCUCACGCUCACAGUGCAUGUGCCUCCAUCCACCACUUCUAGCGGUGCUUCCACCGUCCAACCUCCACUUUCCUCCCGGCGACAUCGACUGAUUGACCAUCGUCGGGUACCUCGACUUGUAUGUUGCGGCUGCGUGACCCAUCGCCGCAAUCGUCGGUGCCGCAUCACCCGUCAUCGCUGUCGUGUGCUGUUGUAUCGUACAUCUGCAUAGCUGUCGUGCACUGUCGCGUGCUGUUGUGUCGUACAUCUCUCUCACGCCUCCAGCCCUCAGUUCAAUCGGUUGUGUCGUCCAUGUGUGCUGUUGAACUUGAGGCAACUGUAGAAGCUAUGCCCUUGCAAUUGAAUUUCAGCAGCGGGCAAUUGAUGCCUGGGAAAGCCAUGGGCGUAGUGCCCAAGAUGAACUCAUAGAGGCCCGUCGAAUUCUUGAACAAUUAAAGACAAAAGCUCGUGGUACAU